GAUGAACGCUGGCGGCGUGCCUAAUACAUGCAAGUCGAGCGAACGGACGAGAAGCUUGCUUCUCUGAUGUUAGCGGCGGACGGGUGAGUAACACGUGGAUAACCUACCUAUAAGACUGGGAUAACUUCGGGAAACCGUAGCUAAUACCGGAUAAUAUUUUGAACCGCAUGGUUCAAAAGUGAAAGACGGUCUUGCUGUCACUUAUAGAUGGAACCGCGCUGCAUUAGCUAGUUGGUAAGGUAACGGCUUACCAAGGCAACGAUGCAUAGCCGACCUGAGAGGGUGAUCGGCCACACUGGAACUGAGACACGGUCCAGACUCCUACGGGAGGCAGCAGUAGGGAAUCUUCCGCAAAGGGCGAAAGCCUGACGGAGCAACGCCGCGUGAGUGAUGAAGGUCUUCGGAUCGUAAAACUCUGUUAUUAGGGAAGAACAUAUGUGUAAGUAACUGUGCACAUCUUGACGGUACCUAAUCAGAAAGCCACGGCUAACUACGUG
rnacentral:rRNA from 1 species